rnacentral:rRNA from 1 species
UGGAAAGUGGCGAAAGGGUGAGUAACGCGUGAGUAAGCUGCCCUCAAGUUAGGAAUAAUUCCGCGAAAGCGGGACUAAUACCGAAUGUGGCAUAUAUAUUGCAUAUUAUAUAUGCUAAAGAUUUAUCGCUUGAGGAUGUGCUCGCGUCCCAUUAGCUUGUUGGUAGGGUAACGGCCUACCAAGGCGAUGACGGGUAGGUGGUCUGAGAGGAUGGUCACCCACACUGGGACUGAGACACUGCCCAGACUCC